AGUGUUUGUUGCCAGAGUAAGG
rnacentral:miRNA from 1 species